AUCUAAGGUAAUCUUGUUGUUUAAGGCGUGAUGAAAAGGGUAGUUAUCAUUAAAAAUCAAUGUAAACAUAUUUUGCUAGAUGCCUCUUUUGCAUUAUAGAGAGGUUUUUGUCUGCUGGGUCCUCCCCCCUGCCCUGCGGCCCGGAGCACAUUUCUGGCUGAAGUGUGCCCUCUAGUGAGCCACUGGGGCGGGAUUCAGAUGGCAGAGCUUUCUCAUCAGCGGGUCAUACUUGAAGGCACCGGAAAAUAGUUUCAUUCUUUCAUUUCAAGGAGCUCCGCUUUCUGGUCUCUUGUCUCACUCAGGAGAUGGCAUUAAAGCACAAGUCCAUAGCAAGCAAUUGGUAAUUUAUGGCUGGAGUAUGCAUUGUAGUACAUAG
rnacentral:lncRNA from 1 species